UACGGGGGGAGGCAAGCGUUGUUCGGAUUUACUGGGCGUAAAGGGCGCGGUAGGCGGUCGUGACAAGUCACUUGUGAAAUCUCCGGGCUUAACUCGGAACGGUCAAGUGAUACUGUCGGACUAGAGUACAGAAGGGGCAACUGGAAUUCUCGGUGUAGCGGUAGAAAUGCGUAGAUAUCGAGAGGAACACCUGCGGCGAAGGCGGGUUGCUGGGCUGAUACUGACGCUGAGGCGCGGAAAGCCAGGGGAGCGAACGGG
rnacentral:rRNA from 1 species